rnacentral:rRNA from 1 species
CACGUAGGGUGCGAGCGUUGUCCGGAAUUAUUGGGCGUAAAGAGCUCGUAGGCGGUGUGUCGCGUCGGCCGUGAAAGCCUGCAGCUUAACUGUGGGCGUGCGGUCGAUACGGGCAUCACUGGAGUUCGGCAGGGGAGACUGGAAUUCCUGGUGUAGCGGUGAAAUGCGCAGAUAUCAGGAGGAACACCGGUGGCGAAGGCGGGUCUCUGGGCCGAUACUGACGCUGAGGAGCGAAAGCGUGGGGAGCGAACCGG